rnacentral:rRNA from 1 species
UGAGUACGAGACGCUACGGCGUCGAAGCAGUCUAUGUCAUACUUCCAAGAAAAGCUUGCACUGUCAUAAACAAAUAAUGCCUGUACCAUAACCGACACAGGUGGGUAGGUAGAGUAUACUAAGGAGCGCGAGAUAACUCUCUCUAAGGAACUCGGCAAAAUGACUCCGUAACUUCGGGAGAAGGAGUGCCUUAUUCUUAAGGUUGCAAUAACAAGAUCCAAGCAACUGUUUAUCAAAAACACAGGUCUCCGCUAAGUCGUAAGACGAUGUAUGGGGGCUGACGCCUGCCCAGUGCCAGAAGGUUAAAGAAGUUGGUUAGCAUUCGCGAAGCUGAUAACUGAAGCCCUGGUGAACGGCGGCCGUAACAAUAACGGUCCUAAGGUAGCGAAAUUCCUUGUCGGGUAAGUUCCGACCCGCACGAAAGGCGUAAUGAUUUGGAUACUGUCUCGGAGAGGGGCUCGGUGAAAUAGACUUGUCUGUGAAGAUCGGACUACCUGCACCUGGACAGAAAGACCCUAUGAAGCUUUACUGUAACUUGAAAUUGAAAUUGGACUUUAUUUGCGCAGUAUAGGUGGGAGGCGUUGAGAAUAUUCUUGCGGGAAUAUUGGAGCCAUCAGAGAGAUACCACUCUUGUAAUGUUAGAUUUCUAACUUUGGAUCAUUAUCUGGUCAAAGGACAGUUUCAGGCGGGCAGUUUGACUGGGGCGGUCGCCUCCUAAAUGGUAACGGAGGCGCACAAAGGUUUCCUCUGAACGGGUAGAAAUCGUAUCUAGAGUGUAAAGGCAUAAGGAAGCUUGACUGUGAGACCUACAAGUCGAGCAGGGACGAAAGUCGGUCUUAGUGAUCUGACGGUGCUGAGUGGAAAGGCCGUCACUCAACGGAUAAAAGUUACUCUAAGGAUAACAGGCUGAUCUCCCCCAAGAGUUCACAUCGACGGGGAGGUUUGGCACCUCGAUGUCGGCUCAUCGCAUCCUGGGGCGGUAGAACGUCCCAAGGGUUGGGCUAUUCGCCCAUGAAAGCGGUACGCGAGCUGGGUUCAGAACGUCGUGAGACAGUUCGGUCCAUAUCCGGUGUAGGCGUUAGAAUAUUGAGAGGAGCCUUCUUUAGUACGAGAGGACCGAGAAGGACAUACCUCUGGUGUACCAGUUAUCGUGCCAACGGUAAACGCUGGGUAGCUAUGUAUGGAGAGGAUAACCGCUGAAAGCAUCUAAGUGGGAAGCCCACCUCAAGAUAAG